GGGGGCGAUCUGGUAUCGACCGGGUAUCGGACGUGUCCGGUGGCGUGUCGUGGUUGAUCAGUAGGCCACGUAAAAAACUGAUCGAACUUUAACUGCUGAACCGCAGUUCUCCCUCGCGGCGUAAGACCCGCAGGCCGUAUCGGUUCCUUCGCCUGAAAGGAACCGAGUCGGACGCAAGUCAGGCUCGUGGGGGUUCGAGGGCCGGGCGACCGGCUCGAUUCGGCGGCCACCCCCGCUAAAAACUCUGGCCGAUAGCCGACCGCGAACCCUGCCCGCUGGGGUCGCGAAAGGCGAACACGGGGCAAGCCCUCGGGACAGGCUCCAGGCAUAGGCGGGCUACACACGUAGAUGCCGGCACGAAAGUGCCACGGGACCCGGGUUCAAUUCCCGGCGCCUCCAC
rnacentral:tmRNA from 1 species